rnacentral:rRNA from 1 species
UGCUGGAGGUAUCAGAAGUGCGAAUGCUGACAUAAGUAACGAUAAAGCGGGUGAAAAGCCCGCUCGCCGGAAGACCAAGGGUUCCUGUCCAACGUUAAUCGGGGCAGGGUGAGUCGACCCCUAAGGCGAGGCCGAAAGGCGUAGUCGAUGGGAAACAGGUUAAUAUUCCUGUACUUGGUGUUACUGCGAAGGGGGGACGGAGAAGGCUAUGUUGGCCGGGCGACGGUUGUCCCGGUUUAAGCGUGUAGGCUGAUUUUCCAGGCAAAUCCGGAGAAUCAAGGCUGAGGCGUGAUGACGAGGCACUACGGUGCUGAAGCAACAAAUGCCCUGCUUCCAGGAAAAGCCUCUAAGCAUCAGGUAACAUCAAAUCGUACCCCAAACCGACACAGGUGGUCAGGUAGAGAAUACCAAGGCGCUUGAGAGAACUCGGGUGAAGGAACUAGGCAAAAUGGUGCCGUAACUUCGGGAGAAGGCACGCUGAUAUGUAGGUGAAGCGACUUGCUCGUGGAGCUGAAAUCAGUCGAAGAUACCAGCUGGCUGCAACUGUUUAUUAAAAACACAGCACUGUGCAAACACGAAAGUGGACGUAUACGGUGUGACGCCUGCCCGGUGCCGGAAGGUUAAUUGAUGGGGUCAGCCGCAAGGCGAAGCUCUUGAUCGAAGCCCCGGUAAACGGCGGCCGUAACUAUAACGGUCCUAAGGUAGCGAAAUUCCUUGUCGGGUAAGUUCCGACCUGCACGAAUGGCGUAAUGAUGGCCAGGCUGUCUCCACCCGAGACUCAGUGAAAUUGAACUCGCUGUGAAGAUGCAGUGUACCCGCGGCAAGACGGAAAGACCCCGUGAACCUUUACUAUAGCUUGACACUGAACAUUGAGCCUUGAUGUGUAGGAUAGGUGGGAGGCUUUGAAGUGUGGACGCCAGUCUGCAUGGAGCCGACCUUGAAAUACCACCCUUUAAUGUUUGAUGUUCUAACGUGGACCCGUGAUCCGGGUUGCGGACAGUGUCUGGUGGGUAGUUUGACUGGGGCGGUCUCCUCCUAAAGAGUAACGGAGGAGCACGAAGGUUGGCUAAUCCUGGUCGGACAUCAGGAGGUUAGUGCAAUGGCAUAAGCCAGCUUGACUGCGAGCGUGACGGCGCGAGCAGGUGCGAAAGCAGGUCAUAGUGAUCCGGUGGUUCUGAAUGGAAGGGCCAUCGCUCAACGGAUAAAAGGUACUCCGGGGAUAACAGGCUGAUACCGCCCAAGAGUUCAUAUCGACGGCGGUGUUUGGCACCUCGAUGUCGGCUCAUCACAUCCUGGGGCUGAAGUAGGUCCCAAGGGUAUGGCUGUUCGCCAUUUAAAGUGGUACGCGAGCUGGGUUUAGAACGUCGUGAGACAGUUCGGUCCCUAUCUGCCGUGGGCGCUGGAGAACUGAGGGGGGCUGCUCCUAGUACGAGAGGACCGGAGUGGACGCAUCACUGGUGUUCGGGUUGUCAUGCCAAUGGCACUGCCCGGUAGCUAAAUGCGGAAGAGAUAAGUGCUGAAAGCAUCUAAGCACGAAACUUGCCCCGAGAUGAGUUCU